rnacentral:tRNA from 1 species
ACGCAGAUAAAAACGAAUUUCCCCUGACUCUUAAUCAGGGUGUCCAGGGUUCGAGCCCCUGAAGGUGUACCA